rnacentral:rRNA from 1 species
UGGCGCACGGGUGCGUAACGCGUAUGCAACCUACCUUAAUCAGGGGGAUAGCCCGAAGAAAUUCGGACUAACACCGCAUAAAAUCACAGUAUAGCAUUAUACAAUGAUCAAAUAUUUAUAGGAUUAAGAUGGGCAUGCGUGACAUUAGUUAGUUGGCGAGGUAACGGCUCACCAAGACUACGAUGUCUAGGGGAUCUGAGAGGAUGACCCCCCACACUGGUACUGAGACACGGACCAGACUCCUACGGGAGGCAGCAGUAAGGAAUAUUGGUCAAUGGAGGCAACUCUGAACCAGCCAUGCCGCGUGCAGGAAGACAGCCCUCUGGGUCGUAAACUGCUUUUAUUCGGGAAUAAACCUAUCUACGUGUAGAUAGCUGAAUGUACCGAAGGAAUAAGGAUCGGCUAACUCCGUGCCAGCAGCCGCGGUAAUACGGAGGAUCCAAGCGUUAUCCGGAUUUAUUGGGUUUAAAGGGUGCGUAGGCGGCUUAUUAAGUCAGGGGUGAAAGACGGUGGCUCAACCAUCGCAGUGCCUUUGAUA